UUAUAUUUUGAUGCAGUGGUCCUCAACCUUCCUAAUGCUGCAACCCUUUAAUGUUGUGGUGACCCUAAUCAUGAAAUUAUUUUCAUUGCUACUUCAUAACUAUAAAUUUGCUACUUUUAGGAAUCACAAUAUAAAUAUCUGAUAUGCAGGCUAUCUGAUAUGUGGCCAUCAAAGAGGUAGUGACCCACGGUUGAGAACUACUGUUCUGAUAGAUAAGGAAGGAUACCAUUGAAGGUACCUUUUAUUUAUUGAAAUCUGUGGACUGUGAGUGUAUGUGUAUGUCUCUGUGUGUGUCAGUGUGUUCAUCUGCACACCAAAGAACACCUUGCAGGAGUUUGCUCUCUCCUUCCAACAUGUGGGUUCUGAGGGAGGAUCAAACUCGGGUAGUCAGACUCAGAGGCAACAAGUGCCUUCACUGGCUGAGUCAUCUCAUUGGCCGGUUUUAUUGGGAUGGUGUGGAGGGAAUGGAGGUUAAGAUAAAGCCUCACUGUGUAGUUCAGACUGACCUCAAAAUCACAGUGAUCCUCUGGCCCUAGCCUCCUUAAUGCUGGGAUUAUAGGUGUGAGCCACCAAGCCUGGUUUUGAAGGGCUUUUUAAUCUGAAGAGUGAUAGGAUUAGAAUGGGUCGGGGGACCCUGCUUUUUGAAACAGGGUCUUGCUUUGUAACCUUGGCUAACAAAUGCUUGCUCCAGAAUUGUUGUAGAUCAUUCUGCCAGCAACAUUGAGAAUCAACUGAAUCACAAAGGGUGCCCAAUAAACAUUGACAUCUUGGCAACAAAUCUAAGCUCAUACCACCUUGCCUUGUCCUUCUCUGCUUUCCAUAUUUGAUACAGGGUACCUUGGUACAACGCCAGCAGACAGGUGAAAACAGACUUAGGAGUACCAGACUUCAGGGUUAAUUUUACUGUGACAGCUGUUGAAGCAUAGGGAAGUCUAUAGGCCUUCACAAAUGACAUGUAUUUAUUUCAUUACUUCAUGGUCUGUUUAGAAAUAUAGUGGAGAGAAUUAAGGAAGAAUUUACAGGUGAUGUUCACCUGUGGUUCUUUAGGGCUUGGAGAUCUGUCCCAACAGGGCACUCUGUCACUAGUUUCUGCUUGGUGGAACUUCUCUAGAGAUUCCACUAAGCAAACAGGAAGGAGGGAAGCAGUGAGCUAUAGAACAAUGGUGAGUGUCUGACAUGCAGACCCAGAGCUCCAGGGAAACAUGGCAAAGCAGGAGCACAGAAAACUUACCAGGCCAAAUGCUCAUUGAGGAAGAAACAGUGGAGCUGCAGAGCAUUAAGCGCUGGGAAAUUAAGGACAGCCCUAGGAUAGAUGAUAACAUUCCUUCCCCCUUCCAUAUUUUCUUAGCAUUCUAACUAGGCGAUUCCUAAGAACCAAAGGCAGGAAUUUUUUAGAGCAUGAGCAUGGAUGCAGCCUUGUUCUGUACAGCAUGAUUUUCAGACUUGGUUCCGUAGAAUCACCUUAAGGGCAUGACUAUGACACAAAUUACUAAGUCCUAGGGUUUUCUUCUCUUUCUUUCUAGAAAAAAACACCACCAGGGUUUAACUUGUGCCAAGGAUGACAUGACCUUUGAACACAUGAUCCCCCUGCUUCUACCUCAGGAGUCCUGAGAUUGUAGUAACCCUCCACUGAGUGAAGAGAUGUUGCCUCCUGGGGAGUGGAUGUGUCACCGGUGCACUGUUCGCCGAAAG